rnacentral:rRNA from 1 species
UACGAAGGGGGCUAGCGUUGCUCGGAAUCACUGGGCGUAAAGGGUGCGUAGGCGGGUCUUUAAGUCAGGGGUGAAAUCCUGGAGCUCAACUCCAGAACUGCCUUUGAUACUGAAGAUCUUGAGUUCGGGAGAGGUGAGUGGAACUGCGAGUGUAGAGGUGAAAUUCGUAGAUAUUCGGAGGAACACCAGUGGCGAAGGCGGCUCACUGGCCCGGUACUGACGCUGAGAUACGAAAGCGUGGGGAGCAAACAGG